UACGUAGGCAGCAAGCGUUGUUCGGAGUUACUGGGCGUAAAGAGUGCGUAGGCGGUGUCGAAAGUUUGGCGUGAAAUCUCCCGCUUAACUGGGAGGGUGCGCCGAAAACUGCGGUGCUGGAGUGUGGGAAAGGCAAGCGGAAUUCCUGGUGUAGCGGUGAAAUGCGUAGAUAUCAGGAGGAACACCGGUGGCGAAGGCGGUCCUCUGGGCCUUACCUGACGCUGGAGGAGCGAAAGCAUGGGGAGCGAACAGG
rnacentral:rRNA from 1 species